rnacentral:rRNA from 1 species
GAGGACCUACGGGGGGCAGCAGUAGGGAAUCUUCCACAAUGGGCGAAAGCCUGAUGGAGCAACGCCGCGUGGGUGAAGAAGGUCUUCGGAUCGUAAAACCCUGUUGUUAGAGAAGAAAGUGCGUGAGAGUAACUGUUCACGUUUCGACGGUAACUAACCAGAAAGCCACGGCUAACUACGUGCCAGCAGCCGCGGUAAUACGUAGGUGGCAAGCGUUAUCCGGAUUUAUUGGGCGUAAAGGGAACGCAGGCGGUCUUUUAGGUCUGAUUUGGAAGCCUUCGGCUUAACCGGAGUAGUGCAUUGGG